rnacentral:lncRNA from 10 species
ACCCCAGAACCUUUGCUGUCUUGGGACGGAUCACCGCUGCAAGAGGGGAAGUUGCUACUGUGAUGAAUUCUGCCAUGUGGCACCAGACUGCCACCCAGACCACAGUGUCCUCUGCAACCCUGGUAACUCACAUACAGGCCCGAUUCCACCUACAGCAAAGCUGGAUGCGAUGGCUGGCAGAGGCAAACCCUUUGCCUGCACUUCAGGCCAAAGCCGGGAUGUGGCCUAGAUGGUUCCUAAGGUCCCUGACAAUCCUGAGAUCUUGCAUCUUGUCUAUUUCAGGUCAAAGCUUCUCAGAUGACCAAGAUGGUGCUGCAGAUGGUGCUGAGGAUGGAGAACCCACCAAGCCCCGCUAGGAGCCACCUAGACUGGAUGCAGAGCAUGGUUCAGUGAGUUCUCCAAACCAGCCUCCCAGGAAUGCCAUUCAACAUGGCUGUGAGGAGAAUAAAGAAGAGAGCCUGACUCCUCUCCUGAGGCCCCUUCCCCACCCUGAGCCAGCAGGAUCCACGGAGCAGAGGUCAUCUGUCCCCAGCUUGGCCCACUGAGGCCAGCAUGGCUGGGCCCAGGAUGCUUGUCUCUCAGCUCCCAUCCUGUGUACUUCCACAUUGGUUUAACCAGAGGAAAACCGAAAUCUACAAUUGUCAUAAACACAUUUAAAUGUGCGUAGAAUCAGCCAUACAAAUUGUGAAACAUA